rnacentral:rRNA from 1 species
UGAACGCUAGCUACAGGCUUAACACAUGCAAGUCGAGGGGAAACGAUAUUGGAAGCUUGCUUCUGAUAGGCGUCGACCGGCGCACGGGUGAGUAACGCGUAUCCAACCUGCCCAUCACUUGGGGAUAACCUUGCGAAAGUAAGACUAAUACCCAAUGACGUCUCUAGAAGACAUCUGAAAGAGAUUAAAGAUUUAUCGGUGAUGGAUGGGGAUGCGUCUGAUUAGCUUGUUGGCGGGGUAACGGCCCACCAAGGCGACGAUCAGUAGGGGUUCUGAGAGGAAGGUCCCCCACAUUGGAACUGAGACACGGUCCAAACUCCUACGGGAGGCAGCAGUGAGGAAUAUUGGUCAAUGGACGAGAGUCUGAACCAGCCAAGUAGCGUGCAGGAUGACGGCCCUAUGGGUUGUAAACUGCUUUUAUAAGGGAAUAAAGUGAGUCUCGUGAGACUUUUGCAUGUACCUUAUGAAUAAGGACCGGCUAAUUCCGUG